GAUGAAGAACGCAGCGAAAUGCGAUAAGUAAUGAGAAUUGCAGAAUUCAGUGAAUCAUCGAAUCUUUGAACGCACAUUGCGCCCGCCAGCACUCUGGCGGGCAUGCCUGUUCGAGCGUCAUUUCAACCAUCAAGCCCCCAGGGGCUUGUGCUGGGGCCCUGCGGCUGCCCGCAGGCCCUGAAAACCAGUGGCGGGCUCGCUAGUCACACCGAGCGCAGUAGCACAUCUCGCUCAGGGCGUGCGGCGGGCUCCUGCCGUGAAACCCCCCACUGUAACCCCAAAGGUUGACCUCGGAUCAGGUAGGAAUACCCGCUGAACUUAAGCAUAUCAAUAAGCGGAGGA
rnacentral:misc_RNA from 1 species